CCAUAUAAAAGACCAAUCACAUUAACUGAAAAUUCUACCAGAAAGAAUGAAGAACAAAAAUUAUUAUAAUUGAAAAAAAACUUCUCUCUUUAUAACAAAUUAUACUCACACACAAAAUUAACCCACCCUACAGCAAUCUUUUAUAAAACUAACCCACUCUAAACAAAACUAACCCAACCUAAAGCAAUCGUUUACAAAACUAACCCACUCUAAACAUGAACUAACCCACUCUAAAGUAAUCUAGUUCAUUGCAAAUGACCCAAAAAUAGAGUUGGUUUAUAAAGAGAAUAGUUUUUGCACCGAUGACGGUGUCCUUCAAUUGGCUCCAAAUGUUUUUGAUUUAUAUGAUAAAUAAAUAUAUCUAAACUCACUCGAUUUUGAAGGAAUAGCUUGUCUUCAUCAUAAAAGAAGACCGGGUAAAACCAAGAUUCCAAGUUAUGAUCAUGCUGAUUUAUUAGUUCCUCCCGCUCCCAUCCCUGUCUUCCUUCUUCAAAAUCCAAUCUACCAAUCCGAUAAAACAAGCGCUGUCCCCCAAUGCUAUAAGUGAACAUAAACAUUCACGUGGCGGCAAUUUGGAAAUUUGAGACCAACACUCAUUCUCUAUAUCAAAAACUAUCAAACUAUCUUCUUCUGUUAGAUAAGACUUUGAAUGGAGAGAUAGCAUUCGGAGGCAUGGAUUUUUCAGUUCAAAGCUUGGAUAGAGCUUUAUUAUUCUCCCAUUACCAAUUCUCGAGUCGAAGAUAUGAUAUUUGCCCAUUUCAGUCCAGCCCUUUGAUGUUUGAGCUAAAAAUCUUAAAAUCAUAUCAAUUCGAAAUAAAACCCAAACGGAUUGACAUUGGGAAAGGAUUCAGAGAUGGUUGUGCAUAGGCCAGUGACUGGGUUUAUUAUGAUGCAUGUGUAGUCGAAGUAUGUGUAGUAUAAGUCAUUCGUUCUGCACAAGCAGCACAGCAUUACGUAAGAGCACUCUAUACCCUCUAGAUUGUCCAUCUUAAACGCAUGCCUUGAGAACACUCUAUACCCUCUAGAUUGUCUAUCUUAUAUCUUGAGAACACUCUAUACCUCUAGAUUGUCUAUCUUAAACUUAGAGUAGCGUUCUACGAACUUGAGACCCACCAUUGUUGGUGGGUAAGAAGGUUAACUUGUUCAUAAAGACAGAGAGACUGGAGAAAUACUGGGAAGCAUUAUUAGGAGAAAGGUAAUGGAUUUUUGCAAAUAAGAGAGAAAGUAGGAAAGGUAAUGGAUUUUUGCAAAUAAGAGAGAAAGUAGGAGUUCUUACCAUGUCUUGUUUAGGCAUUUGAAAUCCCUUACGGAUUCUACAGGAAAGUGCAAUUGCAAGAGGAUUUCAAUUACCAGAUCAUCUCGUAAGAGUGAAGAUAGAGAAACUUCUUCUAAGAGUGGAGAUAGAGAAACUUCUUCUAAGAGUGGAGAUAGAAAAACUUCUUUCUUGUAUUGAACCUUCAUUAGC
rnacentral:lncRNA from 1 species